CCGCUCAGAUUGAACGCUGGCGGCAGGCCUAACACAUGCAAGUCGAGCGGUAGAGAGAAGCUUGCUUCUCUUGAGAGCGGCGGACGGGUGAGUAAUGCCUAGGAAUCUGCCUGGUAGUGGGGGAUAACGUUCGGAAACGGACGCUAAUCACCGCAUACGUCAUACGGGAGAAAGCAGGGGACCUUCGGGCCUUGCGCUAUCAGAUGAGCCUAGGUCGGAUUAGCUAGUUGGUGGGGUAAUGGCUCACCAAGGCGACGAUCCGUAACUGGUCUGAGAGGAUGAUCAGUCACACUGGAACUGAGACAGCGGUCCAGAUCUCUCUACGGAGAGCGACACGACAUGUGGGGAUAUAUUGGCCAAUGGGCGAAAUCCUGAUCCAGACCAUGCCGCUGUAGUGUGAAGAAGGUCUUCGGUAUUGGAAAGCACUUUAAGUUGAGAGGAAGGGCCAUAACGUAAAAGGUGACGCCUUGAC
rnacentral:rRNA from 1 species